rnacentral:rRNA from 1 species
UACGGGGGGUGCGAGCGUUGUCCGGAAUCACUGGGCGUAAAGGGCGCGUAGGUGGUUUGAUAAGGGUGUGGUGAAAGUCCGGAGCUCAACUCCGGAUCUGCCGUGCCGACUGUCAAACUCGAGGGCUGUAGAGGCAGACGGAAUUCCGGGUGUAGCGGUGGAAUGCGUAGAGAUCCGGAGGAAGACCGGUGGCGAAGGCGGUCUGCUGGGCAGUUUCUGACACUGAUGCGCGACAGCGUGGGGGGCAAACAGG